UUCUUUAUAUACAUACAGCACUUGCGUAACACCAUCUUAACUGUGAAUGAGAUUCCUAGGUGCAGUUGCAAUAAACUGAUUAAUAGUAUCAUUCAUGGUAUCAUACCUUAUUCAUAUGUUCAGUGUAAGUAAAGAGGAAUACAUUGGCAGGAGCAUAACGGUUGUGACUUCAAACACGAUACUCUUGGGGGGAAAAGUUACAGCUAAAGCACGCACCACUGGGCAGUGCAAUUGGUAAAGCUGCAAUAAAUGCUCAAGAAAAUAAUUUUUGGAGUAAAAAGCAGCAAAAACAAGCUCACAAAGAGCUAGUGCUGGGCAGGUCUCUGGCACAUUACCCAAGGUGGGUAACGUUACCCAGUUAGUCAAACCGAGCAUGGAAAUAAGAAGGAGACAUGUCUGUCAGUCAGAUUGGUCGGGAUGACCCCUACUUAUGCAUAAACAAGCACCCACAAGUAAGGUUGUGUGGUUUUUUAAUCUGGAGACAGCAAGGACUGAUUUUUGUCACCGAACACUCGUGGGACAAAUCACUGACAAAGGCACACAGAAAGCAGAAGGGAAUAGAAAAUGGUUAAAUGAGAAGGAAUGUCUUUGCCAUGGGCUGCAGCUGCUUGGAAUGCAUUGGGAUCCUCCAGAGAAGAGACAAGUAAUGGCCCAGGAGUGAGUAUUGUCACCAGAGAUAAUGUUACAGCCCUAGCAAGAUGGCACUUCAAAACUUCGUCAGCCUCCAAGAAUUUCGGAAUAGGGAUGAAUGAAGGUUACAGAGCUUUGGUGCAACCAAAGGGACCCGUUUCCAGUCAUCUUAACCAAAAUUGAAUAACUGCAACAGGAGAACAAGUCUGGCCUAUUGGGCAGGGAACUUAAUUGUGAGAAGGCUCUGGAGAGCGAUUGGCACUGGAUGAUAGCUGUACUAUUAUCAUGUUACUGCCCCUGAAAAGGAGGAUCCAAGCUCUAAUGCAUACCCUCAAGUCCCGCCAGCUCGACGGGUACCAAAGCACGCCUACACUUGAGCUGGAGACUUCUCUGCUCAGACAAGGAGGAUUACGGACAUCAUAUGACUAAUUCUGCAAUGACGGUAUAUGCUUAAUUGGUAAAGGACUGCAUUUUCUAUCUUUUUUUAACCCAGGACAUAGCGUCAAAGGUCUGCCUGAUGUUCGAGGUUCAUUUCAGGUAUUUGCUUCAUUGAGAUUCACUGUACCUAAGGUUACUGUGACCUCUGGCUUUGUCUUGUGCUCUUCAGCACUAUGAGAAGCCAGUAUUCAAAUUCCUCUGAAACGUAAGGCUGUGCUGCUCUCACAGCUCACAAAGAGCCUUCUCUGAACCUCAGGUACAAAAGCUUUGGCUGUUGCAAAAGCCAGUAGCCAAGAGUCACAAAAAGCAUGAUAUUUAUGUAAGUGAACUACGGUACCAAACUUUAGACAUUGAUUCUAAUGUCCUGCUUUCAAGAUCUCUGCCUCAGUUGCUCUAUAAAAUGCAAAUACAGCAUUGGUGAUGCUUAGCUGAUUAAAAGAAAUAAAUACUUCUCUAACUUCUAAGAGUGUGUGUUG
rnacentral:lncRNA from 14 species